UACGGCUCAGUAACACGUGGACAAUCUACCCUAAGGAGGGGGAUAACCCCGGGAAACUGGGGAUAAUACCCCAUAGACUAUGAAUGCUGGAAUGCUUUGUAGUCGAAAGGUCCGCCGCCUUAGGAUGGGUCUGCGGCCGAUUAGGUAGUUGUUGGGGUAAUGGCCCAACAAGCCUGUAAUCGGUACGGGUUGUGGGAGCAAGAGCCCGGAGAUGGAUUCUGAGACACGAAUCCAGGCCCUACGGGGCGCAGCAGGCGCGAAAACUUUACAAUGCGGGAAACCGUGAUAAGGGAACUCUGAGUGCCCGUUAAAUCGGGCUGUCCAUCAGUUUAAAAAACUGGUGAAGAAAGGGCCGGGCAAGACCGGUGCCAGCCGCCGCGGUAAUACCGGCGGCUCGAGUGGUGGCCACUAUUACUGGGCUUAAAGCGUUCGUAGCUGGUUUGUUAAGUCUCUGGGGAAAUCUUCCGGCUCAACCGGAAGGCGUCUCAGGGAUACUGGCAGACUAGGGACCGGAAGAGGUGAGGGGUACUCCAGGGGUAGGAGUGAAAUCCUGUAAUCCUUGGGGGACCACCUGUGGCGAARGCGCCUCACCAGAACGGCUCCGACAGUGAGGGACGAAAGCUGGGGG
rnacentral:rRNA from 1 species